rnacentral:lncRNA from 13 species
CAACAAAAUCAUAGGUCAAAAUAUAAAUGUAAUUUCAGUGGAGGUUGACAAAAAUUUUAAGUAAAGUUUCUGAGGAUGUUUGAAGAGAUAAAUGAAGAAAUAAGUUUGAUUAAAAAGAAUAUAAUAUUAGGUAAAAUUAAGGUAAAAUAAAAAGUAAGAGGAAGCAUAAAAAGGAAUAAAGUCAAAAUCUUGAAAGUAAAAAAUAUAUGUUUUAAAAAUAUAAAAACUAUUUUAAUGGAUUCCAUAAACUGUGCAUACAGUUGAAGUGAAUUAGUGAUUUGGAAGAAGGUGACUUCAUCUAAAGAAGUUUUUCAUAAUAGAGACCCAAAAGGCCAGGUAAAAGAUGUAUAUGUUAAUAAGAAGGGUAACAAUAGAAUAAGGGAAUGAAGGGAAUGAUAGAAAAGCAGUAUAUGAAUGGAAACUAUUUGAUAAUUUUCCAGAAUUCAUUAGAUUAAAACUUUACUAUGAAUGCAAAUUAAUUAAUUAAAAAUAAUUUUAAUUUAGACUCUUUGUGUUGAAUUGUACUAACGAGGGAUAAUUCAUUUAUCUUAAUGGCUUCCAAAUGGGAGGGAAACCCAGAUUAACACAUUUUAGGUAAUUUUUUGUCAGCAAAAAUAGAUAACUGAAAACAGUAGAUAAUAUCUUUAAAGGACUGAAAAUUUAAACUUAAAUUUUUAUACCCAGCUAUAUUAUUUUUCAAGAGUGAAGACAAAAUAUACUUUCAAAUGUUUUUAGAACUAAGAAAUUUUACCAACAACGAAUAGACCUUUAUAAAGGAAUUGUUAAAGGAUAAAACUUAUCAAGAAGGAAGGUCAGCACAGAGAGAAGAUGAUGAAUGCAAAAUUGAUAAAAUACACUGAAAAAUAUAUUGAAUUUUGACAUAAAGGUAAAACAGCCCAACUUGUAUGCUUUUUCUUAUUUUAUUCAAGGUAAUUAAAUGGAAGAAAUUAUUAUGAACUUGAGUAUAGAAACUAUCCUGAAAAAGCUUCUAAUGGCCAAAGAUGGAACAACUUGAAGAGCAAAAUAAGAGACGCCUUGGAUUGCUUCUCAUUCCCGACAUAUAUUUGGUUGGCAAGUCCCGGCAUUUACACUUCAGAAAUAACUCGUAAGUUCGUAUCCUUUCUGUCACCUCUGUCAUAUUAUCGCUUCUAGGGUGUUGCCAUUGGUUUAUUAACUGG